rnacentral:lncRNA from 1 species
GUCUCUCAGUGUCUGUGUCUCAAUUCCCCAUCUCUCUAGGUUUUCUCCACCACCAUUAUCAUCUAACCACCGCCGCCACCGAAAACCACCAUCAUCUUCGUAACCACCACCUGCCCAACCUCCGGUAACCACGAGAUCCACCACCAUAACAAAGAUGACGUUUGAUACCUCGACGAAGAUCUAACGGGAGUCCUUUCAUCCACCCCACGAGUCGCCACCCAUUUAUACUGACCGUAUCUUCGAACCGACUGGCGGAGUUCUAGCGGCAGUUGGCAGUGGUGCAUCCAUUGUUCUGUAUCAGUUCUCCUGAUUCUCCAUUCACCUAAUCGAACCGUAACCACGAGACCGACUGGCGGAGUUCUGGCGGCACGAGAACCUCCUUUUCACUCUCUUUAUUCAACAAUCUAAUCGGUUCUUCUUAUUCUCCAUUCCUCUGUCGCCAUUGAUUUAGUGACGAGGGUUCAGGCAAAUGCAAUGGUGUUAUAGCUGCCCUUUAGAUCUGGGUUACCAGAGAUGGUGGUGAGUGAUUUCUUGAGGGAAUUAAUGAGUGUUGAUGGUGGUUCCUGAGAAAGGUAAAGUUGGAGAGACGAGAGAGAGAGAGAGAGAAAGGGUUAGAGAUAGAGAGAGUUUGAGAGAUAAGGGUUUAUAAUUCUAUACUUUGUUUUAAAUAAAAAAAAUUUUUAAAGAUAUAAAUGCCCUCACAGGAGGUGCACAUGU